AAAAAAAUCAUUUAUCAAAAUUUUAUGUUAAAAAACGUACGAUAAGUUUUAAAAAUAUAAAAAAACCAUAUAAAUUAUAAAAAUUGCAAAAUACACUAGAAAAGGAUUAAGGGCUGACCAUGUCUGUAUUACCUCGUGGUUACGAAUGUCAUCGACCAGCACCAAGAUAUGGAUACGUGAAAGGAGAAUAUAGCAUCUAUUACAAGAGACCACGUUACGGGCAACCUCGGCCACAGCCGUUUCAAAGAGAAACCGCGCCGUACUGUGGAGGGCCUAGUAAUGCACCUAGAGAAAGACCCUGUUGCUACGAUUACCCAUGCAAAGCGGAUUGUUUUAAUCACGGAGCAGUCACCAGGCCAAGCGGCAGAUACGCGAGGACUGUCUGGUAUCCAGGCGAGUGUUGUCCGGUGGUGCCACCUUGCCAAGCUUUCACCUGCCCUAAUCCACCAUAUCACCCUUGUUGUGUGUCCACGGUCAAUAAGUUUGUUUAAAAUUGGAACGUUAUUUAAGUGCUAAGAUGUUAACCGUUUGUUUAACGACUACAAACAUCGUCCAUAUAAGUUUUAAGUCGCAUGUGAUUUGUAUACAGUGUCGUAAUAAAUGUCGCCAAUUGAUUUAAGAUA